rnacentral:rRNA from 1 species
UACGGAGGAUGCGAGCGUUAUCCGGAUUUACUGGGUGUAAAGGGAGCGUAGACGGUUAAUCAAGUCAGAAGUGAAAACCCAGGGCUCAACCUUGGGACUGCUUUUGAAACUGAGUAGCUAGAGUGCAGGAGAGGUAAGCGGAAUUCCUAGUGUAGCGGUGAAAUGCGUAGAUAUUAGGAGGAACACCAGUGGCGAAGGCGGCUCUCUGGUCUGUAACUGACGCUGAGGUUCGAAAGCGUGGGUAGCAAACAGG